rnacentral:lncRNA from 1 species
UAUAUGUUCUUUUUUGUCUGUGUUUUUUUUUUUUUUUUAGUUUAUUGUUGACUUGUUUACUUUUCCUUUUUUGUUUUUUUUUUUUUCCUUUUGCUUUUUUUUUUUUUGGGUUUUUUUCUUUUGUUUUUUUCUUUUAGCCAUUAUAUCUGAAAUGUGAUCCUAUAAUGUUUUUUUGAAUUCUCAGCAUAUUUCUGAUUAUUAUGGAAACUUGCCGUGUUCCCCGUGGGGAUAAAAAAGAAAAAAGAAACAGAUUUAAAGGCCCCAUUUCAUUAUGCAUAAUCCAGUAGCUGCAUUGUUGGAUUCCGUGGCAUUGUUGGAGAAGGUCAUCAAGAGGACACAUGAUCCACCAGUUGACUCAGGAGCUACACUUGGGCAUUCGGAGACUCCCCGCCCCCUCCCAUGUUCUUGGAAUGUGCAUUCUACCCACUGUUCCUCAUCUUUUGGUCACCCAAGAUAAGCCUUAUGAAGAGACAGAAGGAUUAAGGAUCUCAUUAAAGUUUUUGGAACUAAUAAGUGGCCAGCUGAAAUUUGAACCCAGGGAAUUUCACAAAACAAGCCUGACUUUCUUAACUGCUAGGCUGUACUAUACGAUUCUUAAUUUACCAUUACACUCUCUCCCUGUGUGAAGGACUGUGGACCAUGAACAAUUUGGUAAUGUAUAUUGAUUAGUGUUUUCCUGCUAUGGGUUUGCUGUCAAACUGAUAUUUUGCCUGUCAUUGCUAACCAUUACUCUUCAAUCUCUUUAGAGUUAACAAUUUCAACAUACUUGUUUGCAGUUAAGCUCAGAGUUUAAUGCUAAGUGAACUUCAUAUAUACUAUGUUUUAAUCUUGCACCUGCUAAAUUUAUGCUUCUCCAUUACACCUGUAAAUCUCUCCCUGCCAUAAUAUGAAUGAUUUACCAUUUUCCUCUCAAGGAUUUCCUCGUGUUGUAUUGGCACCUCCUAUUAUAUUUUAGGACAAGGGUAAAAAUAAUGAGACACGGUGAGUUUAAUUCAGCUCCAAAUAUUGCUUCAGAAUAAGCAUCCAAUUAUUAUUAUUUUUUCUUGUGGUAAGUUUUCCGUAAUUGGAAAUGUUGAGGUAAUGCUAUUUUAAAUUCCGAACGGGAAAAUACUUCUAUAGUAUUAAGGUCCUCUCCUUUGUGUGUAUGAGUGAUUGGGUGUGGGUCAAAGAGACUUGGAACAUUAAUUUUAAUUCAGAAGUGGUUCCAGAGAGACAAGUUAAUUUUCGAAAUCAGCCUGGUGAGAGUUGGGGAUUGGAAAAUGCAUUCAAGGAAAAAUGUCUUAUACUCUGCUAGAACAAUUAUGAGGUAAUAGGCUCAGGAGAAACUGGCCACCAAGGUUUAGUAACAAUUCUAGAAUUGUGGCUGAUUUGCUUGAAAAUCUCAAAUACCACAUCUUGCUGAUUCUAAGACAAAUUACUUUUCACAUUUUAAUAUUUAUGAAGUCAGACUACACCUUGUAGUUGAUGAAUAUGUGGUAGGAUAUUAACAUGGAGGUUUGGGUUGAGGCUAAAAUAGAAAGUAUAUUUUCAAAGUAGAUGGUAGCAGAAGGAAUCAAGACUGUUUAUAUUUUUUAGUUUUACUUUUAUUAUUUUUUAAGAUUUAUUUACUUAUUUGAGAGAGAGGAGGAGGGCAAGUCAGGGCAGGGCAGGGGAGAGGGAGAGAGAGAAUCUCCAGAAAACUCCCCACUAAGUGUGGAGCCCAAUGCUGGGCUCGAUCUCACAACCCUGAGAUCAUGACCUGAGCUGAAAUCAAGUUGGUCAGAUGCUUAACCAACUGAGCCACCCAGGUGCCCUUUAUUGUAAUUGUAGCAAAAUAUACAUAGCAUGAAAUUUACUGGCUUAACCACUUUUGAGUGUACAACCUGGUGGCAUUAAGUGCAUUUACAUCGUUGUGCAAACAUCCAUCUAUAGAACUUUUUCAUCUUUUCAAACUGAAACUCUACACCCAUCAAAUGACACCUCCCCAUUCUCCCCUCCCUUCAGCCUCUGCCAACCACUGUUCUACUUUCUGUCUCUGUGAAUUUGAAUAUUUUAGGUACCUUGUAUAAGUGGAAUUGUACAGUUUUGUCUUUUGGUGACUUGAUUGUUCAUUUCACAUAGUAUCCUCAGUAUUAAUCUAUGUUGUAGCACAUGUCAGAACUUCCUUCCAUUUUCAGACUGAAUAAUUUAUUCUAUUGGGUGUAGACACCACUUUGUUUUUCUAUUCAUCCAUUGAUGGACACUUGGGUUGCUUCCACUUUUUGGCAAUUGUGAAUAAUGCUGUUGUGAACAUGGGUGUACAAAUAUGUGUUUGGGAACUUCCUUUUGAUUCUUUUGGGUAUAUACCCAGAAGAUGAAUUGCCAGAUCACGAGGUAAUUCUAAGUUUUUGAGGGACCGCCAUACUUUUUCCCAUAAGGGAGUCAUCAUUUUGCAUUUCUACCACCAGGGCACAAGUAUUUCAAUUUCUUCACACCCUUGUUAAUAUUUGUUUUUUUUUUUUCUGCUUUCCUGAUGUUAGCCAUCUGAAUGGAUGUGAGGUGGAGGAAUGAUGACUCUUAAUGACCUUACUCAUAUAGAAGGUAUAAUAAAGGGGCAGAGACUGGAUAUUUGGGGAUGACCUUGGGAGGAGGAUGUUGAUGGAGAGCUGCUGAUAUGACCCCCACAGGGAGGACAAGUCAAAUAAAGCCUACGGAGAAGUAUAAGUUGUGUUUCCUCUGUUUUCUCAAGUCAAAGAAGAAUUCCCCCCACUCAGGUGUAAGGAGACCACUCGCAGAUCUAAUACGCACACCUGCAAUCUGGACUGGGGUGGUGUUGAUACCAUCUCAUGAUGGUAACAGUCAGGUUGGAACUUUCCUGCUCCUUUGCCUCCUCUCCUCCUCCUCACUGUAGCUCUGGAGGGGUUGGGAACUGCCAUAAGCAAGUUGUAGGUGGGAAUGGAAGCCUAGACUAGAAGAAGAAGAAGCAGUUGACCACAUCCCAUUAUCUGCUCGCUUUCCAUCUGCAAAUACACAUAAAGGAG